AAACGAUGUGUAUUUGGUUGAGGUUAGAUGGAAAGUUUCUGGCAAACCUGAAAUGAGAGUGAAUCUGAAGCAGUCGACAUUAUUUGUUGGGACAUGUUGUUAGGAACUAAAACAGCCUGCCACAGAGUCAGUAUUUUGUGGAUAAGUGAAUGAAUUGGGCAUCCCUUGAUGGAUUCCUGUUUUUAUGUAAGUGAAAAUCUUUGGAUACUUUUUAAACUCUUAGGUUUUUAAAUGAGAUUUUAUAAUGGUCACUUUAACAAUGGAAAUGGUAGGCAUACUCAUAGAUAUUUGCCACUAGUAAGGGCUCUAAGACCUACAUGGAAUAAUUUCGAAGUCCCAAAGAUCUACUGAGAAAAGUGUUUAACAAAGCAGUUAUUUUGAACUCUUCUAAUACUGGGUUUCUUAUAUUUUAUGGCUUAGAACAGUAUUUCCUGAACUUUUUCAGUUUCGGCAUACUUGGAAAAUGAAAACUUAUUAUUACAUAUUGUGAUGAAAAGGUGAGGCUACUUCUACCUAGAGGCAACAGAAUUUGGGACUCUAGCCACCCCAUACCCAGUGCUACCACCUUAAGGGCUGAGAUAUUAAUGUCCCAAGACACCUAUAAAAUCACCUAUAAAAUCCCUGGUUAGGAUGCUCGAUUUAAAAAUUGUGUGGUUAAAAUGGUAAAUUUUAUGUUAUGUAUAUUUAGCACACACAAAAAUUGUGUGAUAGCAGUAUACAAACUCUAGAAUUCUUAAAAGUAGAAUUUUGGAACUCACGUAGAUUUUUAAAUUGUCUAACUCAAGCCAUUUUUCAGUGAAAUUCUGCUGAUUCUACAAUCUGUUUAACUCAUCCGAGUAGCUAAGUGUUAUGAAGGGAAAAUCACCUAUCAGGUUAGAUUGAUAUCACUAAAAUCACCUGGUUUCAAACCUCAUGCAGGGCAUCCAUUAAUCCUUAGAAUAGCUUUUGUUCAGCUCCUUCUAUUCCCUUUGUUAUCUUCCAAACCUUCACUAUUUUUAAUCCUCAGGCCUCUGUAAGGUAUUUUCACUCUCAGCAGACAACCUGUCCUGAUUAGACAAGACAAUUGAGCUUAACAAGUAUGAUCUUCCUAAACUUCCCUUUUUCUUUCUCAACUCUGUGAAUUAGGCAAUACCAUUUUGCAGUUAAAAAUACUACCUAAAUCCAAUUGCUUUUCACCACCUUCUUUACAUCCACACUGGUCCAAGCCACCCUCAACCUCUUCUAUAGGAAUAGCCUCCUUUUUUAAAAAAAAAAUCAAUUUCUUUCUAUUUUCACUCUUUCCACUCUUACAGUAUAUUCUCCAACGGCAGUCAGAAUGGCCCUUUAAAAUCUGUCAGAACAUCACACUCUCCUGCUCAAAACAUUCCAGGGUCUUCUCAUCAUCUUAGACUAAGACCCAAACUUCUUUCCCAGAGAGUCAGGACAAGUCAGUCACUAUAGUCUACUUAUGUUACCUCCGAAAAGUAAUUUUGAAUUAGCGCUUUCCUUUUCAUCCUUGUUCUUUUUGCUCUAGUUUAGGCAUUGAUAUUUCUUAAACUAAGCAACAGCCUCUUUGCCUCCAGACUUGUUCACCUUAUUGCCUAAAAGUUUAAAAUUCAAUCCCUUUAAAACAUCAUAGAAGCCCUUCCUUAGCCUUGCACACUCUGUCACACACUUUGCUCUUCUCCUCUAUCAACAGGAAACUGUGUUCAUUCCUUCCCUCUGCUGUUUCUUUGUCUUGGCUCAUACAAUGCUUUUCUCUUGGAAUUAUCUCCAUCCCCACCUUUUACACUUCACCUUUCUAUUUAUUCUUUAAGACUUAGUUCAGGUAGCACCUCUUCCAGGAGACUAACCUAAGAUCUCUGUUUACCCUUCCUACCUACUCCCUUCCACAAAUGGUCCUCAUUCUCCCAAACCUCUCAAUACAUAUUUUUAUAUUGCACUUAACACCUUUAUACUGUAAUUAUUUUCAUGUUUUUAUCUUCAGCUGGGUUGUGGGCUCCUUGAUGUCAGAGACUGUGCUUUCUUUAUUCUCAGUUUUCCUGGAUCUUGCUAGAGAGUCUUAGCACAGCACAUUAUCUCAUAGAGCCACAUAUAAAAUUUAAAAGUUUCUAAUAACCACAUUUAAAGAAGUAAAAACAAACAGAUGAAAUUAACUUAAUCCAAUUAUCUAACAUUGUUUCAAUAUAUAAUCAAUAUAAAAAGUAAUAAGACUUUUAAUAUUCUUUUUCUUCAUACUAAGUCUUUGAAAUCUGAUAUGUAUUUUACCUUUUAUAGCACAUCUCAGUUUGGACUAGACACAUCAUUUCAAGUGCUCAAGGCCACAUGUGGCUAGUGGCUACUGUUUUGGACAGCACAGGAUCAUUAUAUGUAAUCAUGUGAUGAACAGAUGAGAUUAUGUGAUUUACUUAAAGAACCAAGAUGGAGCUGGGACUAGGACAUGGGUGUCUGAUUCUUAGCCUAAUGCUAUUUCACUAUUUGUGCCUGGCAUUUCCCGUCUCUGUCCCACUCCUCACAUCAUCCCGUCUCCUGGCCCCUCAGCAUUGAGUACAUGUAUCUCCAGUCACAGAAUUAAAAAGGUAUUCUAAGGAAGUUUCAUGGCUCCUAAGAACAUAACUAGGCUUGAGCCCUAUUUGUUUGAAGUGGGGGAUGAACUCAAGAAUGCUCUCUUGUAUUUGCUUUCCCUCCUUCCCUAUGUCCUUCCCCUAGUCCCCUACUCCUGUUCUGUGAUGCCUUCCCAAAUAAAGAACUUUCACAUAAAUUGGAGGACUCAGGUUUUACUUUCCAUGGAGAACCUAGACUAAAAGAUAAAGGGAAAACAUGAAAUUUCUGUGUCACUAUUUUUAAAUUAUUAAUGGAGAAUUUAACUUCUGAAAGUUGGCAUGCAUGAAUAGGACAGUCAGAUUAAUUGUAUCAGUCAUUUAAAAUGAUGUUAAUGCUGAUCCAAGAUUGACUGGACAUGUGCAUUUGAGGUUAUUUUUCUGUUAGUGUUAAUGGGGUGCAUUUCAAGGGACUCUUAUGCUUGCUCAUUCUCUCUUACAGGCAGAAUAUUUUCUUGCUGCUUUCCUAGGAUAUACCAACCAGGGAUCCUAAUGUGAUAUGUCUGGAUUGGAGUUUAGCAAUCAGCAUUUUUUUUUUGGAGACAAGGUCUUGCUCUAUCACCCAAGCUGGAGUGCAGUUAUUGUAACCUCCAACUCCUGGGCUCAAGCAAUCCUCCUACCUCAGUCUUCCAAGUAGCUGGGACUACAAGCAUGCAGCGUCAUGCCUGAUUAAUUGUUUGUAGAGGGCAACUCACUAUGUUGCCCAGGCUGGUCUUGAACUCCUAGCCUCAAGCAGUCCUCCCGCCUCAGCCUCCCAAAAUGCUGGGAUUACAGGCUUGAGCAACCGUGUUUGGCUGCAAUCAGUAUUUUUUUAAUAGACAUCCUCCAGGUGAGUAAGAUGGCCCAUGGACUAUACUUUGAGAAACAUUGCUAGGUUGAUACGGUAGUAAUACUGCUGAGUAUAAUCUGUGAUUAUGCAAAGCUAACUGGCUCUACAAGGACCGAAUUAGUAUCUCGGCACCGUUAAUCAAAGGGUCUAAUAAACUGAGCUAACAACCCACACACUGGUAAAUCAGAUUAAAAAGAUUUUAAUUUUUAUUUCAGAGUCACUACUCUUCUUUUAUGGAAA